rnacentral:rRNA from 1 species
GACAGAGGUGCCAAGCGUUAGGCGGAAUCACUGGGCUUAAAGCGUGUGUAGGCGGGCGAUCAAGUACCUUGUGAAAUCCCACGGCUCAACCGUGGAACUGCUGGGUAUACUGGUUGUCUUGAGCCAGCUAGGGGCGAGCGGAACAGACGGUGGAGCGGUGAAAUGCGUAGAUAUCAGGAGGAACACCGGUGGCGAAGGCGGCGAUCUGGGUCGAUACUGACGCUGAGGUGCGAAAGCGUGGGGGAGCAAACAGG